UAAAUAUUACGUAAAUCAAGCUUUUAUACAGCUACACAUGCAGCUGCCUCUUGGCGAGUGUGAAGGGCAGUAUGGUGAGAAAUCAGAACUGGUAAAAAGUUAUUAGUCAGUCAGGACUUUGACAACAAAGAGAAAAACUAAUGGAUAUGAUGACCGACUUGCGUGGCAAGAAAUUAAUAUUGACUUUAGGUUAUGUUUGUUCGAAAGAUUAUGUUUGAG
rnacentral:lncRNA from 1 species